GACCCCUGCCUUAUCCAUCCGCCUCCUGCCACUGACGUCAUCCGCUCUCCCAACUGACGGCCGCGAUCCGCCGGCGACAGGAGUCCCCGCUGGAUUUCGUUAGUUUUGGUAGCAGUAGUUUUAGGGGUUCUUCCCAAACCCUAAUUCCCACACGAAGCUGGCGAAUUCGCCGGAGAAAUGGACGAUGACCGGAAUGCGAAUCCCACUCUCCCUUCCGAAUCCAAUCCCGUCAAGGCCCCGCUUCUUUCGGUUCUCGGCGACGCCAGCUUGAUCGACAGGACCGAAUUUAUCAGGGUCAUCGGGCAAUCCCUCUACUCCCUCGGCUACCACAGGGCAGCCGCGAUGCUGGAAUCUGAGUCUGGUAUCUCGCUCGAGCCCCAUGAGUACACCGAGUUGCUAUUCAGUGUGUUGGCGGGGCGGUGGGACGACUGCAUUGCCACCAUUGAGUCCAUUCGCGAUUUGGAGAGCAGCGCCAGAAAUACAGCAGCGUUUCUUGUGUGGAAAGAACAUUUUUUGGAGCUGCUGGGGUUGAAUGAUGGGUUUUUGAUGGCUAGGGACGUGCUAUGGCAGCGAAUCGCCCGGCUGGAUAUGGACCGACAGAGAGUUCACGAGCUCGCCAGGGAGCUCAUUUCGUCGGAGGGAAUUAUUGAGGGAAAGGAUAGAAUCCGCAGGAGAUUGGCGUUGCUUCUUGAUUUGUUUGAGGUGCUGCCCUCUUGGGUGCGAGUGCCAAGCGGUCGGUUGGAACACCUUGUGGAAAUGACAGUUCUCAGGCAGAUCGCGUCGUGCAUUUACCACAACUCACCCGGCGAAGUCACACUCUAUGAAGAUCACGAAUGCAGCCAAGAACAGAUCCCUUCCAAGUGCAGCCAGAUACUAUAUGAUCACAAAAAUGAAGUUUGGUUUGUUCAGUUCUCAAAUAACGGGGAUUACCUGGCUUCAUCUUCAAGUGAUUGCACUGCCAUCAUAUGGACGGUGAACAUGGACUACAGUUUGUCUUUAAGGCGCAUUCUGGAGGGUCACAUGAAAGCUAUAUCUUAUUUAACAUGGAGCCCAGAUGAUAAAAUGCUUCUUACUUGUGGUAAUGCAGAAGUCCUUAAGUUAUGGGAUGUAUGUAAUGGCUCAUGUAAAUUCACAAUUACUGGUGGAGUAAAUCGAAUUAUCAGCUCAUGUGCAUGGUUUCCAGACUCUCAGAAGAUAGUCUGUGGCAGCUGGGAUCCUGAUAACCGAAUCUUUACAUGUGAUCUAGAGGGAAAUAUACUGGAUGUUUGGGAAGGAGAGAGGAUGCCUAAAGUUACUGAUCUUUCUGUGACACCUGAUGGACAAUGUAUAAUCAGUAUAUGCUCAAGUAAAGAAAUUCUUGUACGUGAUUUCCAUAGAGGAAGUGAAUGGGUCAUACAUGAGGAGCAUUCUAUUACUUCACUCUCACUUUCAAGGGAUGGCCAAUUUAUAAUUGUCAACUUGAAAAAUGAAGAGAUCCACUUGUGGAAUCUUAAUGUGACCUCAAGUUCGCCACAUAAGUUUAGGGGUCACAAAGAAGGACAGUAUGUAAUUCGUUCAUGUUUUGGUGGGUCAGAUUCUUUAUUUAUUGCCAGUGGUAGUGAGGAUUCUCAGCAAUGGUUAUAAGAGAUGGUUGAUAGACGGGUUGACCUGGUUAUGGGGAGGAUGACAGUGAUGUUGGGAACCUUGAAUAGAGGAAGCCUUGUUCAAUGCAAUAACAAUCACCGAACAAACUCAGAGGAGGAAGAAAACAUUUUUGAUGAGGAGGCUCCGUGUAGGCAUCAUAGAGCAUCUGAUAAAUUUGCUCGCGACUUGGAACUCCGACUGCAAGAUAAGUUCGUCCCCAUGUCCGCCUCCAAAAUGAGGUGAUAGGACUACGAGGAGGAUCCUACUCUGCGGGAUCCGCCCGGAGCACGACAAGGUCUGGACGGAAUCCAACCUUGACAAACGACCCCUUUGUCAGCGACAAUGAAGCUCCGAUGAUUAUCUUCGUUGACGUCUUGGGAUCAUUGAAUUCAUCUUGUCGUGAUCGCUCUGCUACUUCAUCGCUGACAUCCUUGGACUCUAUAUUUGAUGGUCUCGCAGAUUCCACAACAAAGACAACGUUGGCUGUUCCCGUGUAUGAUAAGUCGAUAUAUGAUGACAAUAUAUCUGAUGGGGCUUCGGGCCUGAAGCACUCGUCAUUGGCGAUUUAUGAGGAUAUUUUUUUUUUUGCCAUUUUGUCAGGAUCUGGUCAUGUUUCGACACCUUCAUUUGUGGAUCUUCUUCAAAAACUUUCAGAAACAAAUGCCAGAGUCCAAGGGCAGGAGUGAUGGGAGAUCUUUGGAGGAGGAACAAAAUAUCUCAUAGUUUGAUGAGUUGAUUUCAGGAUUCGAUAGGAAAACUACAGCCACAGACGAUGACCUUGCCUGGAGGGGGCUGCUAAGGAAGCAGUCGUCAAGGCUUAUAGCAAGGAAGAGAUAAUUGCAGGAGAUUUAUUAAACAUGAUCAACAACCCCUCAGGCUCUGAGCUGCAUAUGACCCAAAGGUUAAUGGAAGGGGGAAAACAGUUGUUAGUGGAGCAGGUUGGCCCUAUCAUCCUAUCAGAAGAGACCACAAGAGAGAUUGUUCUAACAUGGGCUAGAGCAACAAAGAAGACACUCACUGCAUUUACUCUUAAAGCAUUCUCGUCAGCAUUGUUAGCCAAUCCUGGGAUGAAUGCUGCAGACCGCGAAUAUGUGUUAUUGGGAUGGAAUCUGAGAGGAGAUCACAUCAUGCAGGUCAAGAAUGUCAUGGAUGCUCACCAGGAGCUUCUGAACACAGUGUUGGUAUCACAGCGUGCGUGACUUCAAAAGCACAGCAAUAGGACUCCUCAAUGGUUUUCAAGAUGCUAUUAACAAGAUUGUUAUCUCUGCUGACAAAAUGAUCCAACAGAGACCUCCACCAACUACCACUAUCGUUCGACCCCCUGCCAGGAUUCAACAACAGGUAUUGAAUAUUUAUGAUGACAAAGGCAAAGCUCCUGCUGUUGUGAAUUCAACUGGAGGUGUGGUAGCCAAAGAUUUGGACACACUCCUCAAGUUGCUAAAAAGGACAAGGGGUGAUUUUGAACAGUUUAAUGACUUGCAGAGUGCUAUUGGUAGACGUGGCCCUAAAACAGACACGCAUGAAAGAAAUACUAUAAGAGUUCUUACUAAUGCAUCCUUGUACACUCCUUUGUCUGAUCUUGAAGUUCCUUGGUUAGACGUCAGCUCUAGUUAUGAUGGAUUUGGAAUGGAACCAGUAACUUCCAUUGCAUUAAUUGGUAUUUUUCCCGAAGAGUUACUAGAUAAAUUGCCUCCCUUACGUAAUAUCCAACAUCAUAUUGAUUUGGAGCCGGGAGUGACAUUGACGAACAGAUCGCAUUACAGAAUGAGCACGUGUGAGCACGAGGAAUUGUUGAUAUAAUUGAUUCUUUUCCAUGGUGAUUCUUCUGAUGAUGAUGUAGCCAACAAUUCGAGGGCGAAUUUUCUCUUCUCGAGAAGAAUGAUGUGGGAUGAUAAAGCAAACUUGCAGAACCCAUAAUUUAUGACUUGGGAUGAACCACGGGAUAGUUUACCAGCCAAAUCGAAAUCUAUAUUUGGCAGAGGCACAAAGAAAUGCCAAUAAAAAUCCUAAGUGGCCAUUCGAUGACAGUAAAUUGCGUGAGCUGGAACCCCACCAGACCUAAUUUGCUAGCAUCAGCAAGCGAUGACCGAACAGU